rnacentral:rRNA from 1 species
UACGUAGGGGGCAAGCGUUGUCCGGAAUCAUUGGGCGUAAAGAGCGUGUAGGCGGCUCGAUAAGUCCGCUGUGAAAGUCCAGGGCUCAACCCUGGACAGGCGGUGGAAACUACCAAGCUGGAGUACGGUAGGGGCAGAGGGAAUUUCCGGUGGAGCGGUGAAAUGCAUUGAGAUCGGAAAGAACAUCAACGGCGAAAGCACUCUGCUGGGCCGACACUGACACUGAGAGACGAAAGCUAGGGGAGCAAAUGGG